GGGUGAGCGGCGGACGGGUGAGUAACGCGUGGGAAUAUGCCCUUCUCUACGGAAUAGCCUCGGGAAACUGAGAGUAAUACCGUAUACGCCCUUCGGGGGAAAGAUUUAUCGGAGAAGGAUUAGCCCGCGUUGGAUUAGGUAGUUGGUGAGGUAACGGCUCACCAAGCCGACGAUCCAUAGCUGGUUUGAGAGGAUGAUCAGCCACACUGGGACUGAGACACGGCCCAGACUCCUACGGGAGGCAGCAGUGGGGAAUCUUAGACAAUGGGGGAAACCCUGAUCUAGCCAUGCCGCGUGAGUGACGAAGGCCCUAGGGUCGUAAAGCUCUUUCAGCUGUGAAGAUAAUGACGGUAGCAGCAGAAGAAACCCCGGCUAACUCCGUGCCAGCAGCCGCGGUAAUUCGGAGGGGGUUAGCGUUGUUCGGAAUUACUGGGCGUAAAGCGCGCGUAGGCGGAUUAGUAAGUUAGAGGUGAAAUCCCAGGGCUCAACCCUGGAACUGCCUUUAAUACUGCUAGUCUUGAGUUCGAGAGAGGUGAGUGGAAUUCCGAGUGUAGAGGUGAAAUUCGUAGAUAUUCGGAGGAACACCAGUGGCGAAGGCGGCUCACUGGCUCGAUACUGACGCUA
rnacentral:rRNA from 1 species